rnacentral:rRNA from 1 species
AGUGAACGCUGGCGGUAGGCCUAACACAUGCAAGUCGAACGGCAGCACAGUAAGAGCUUGCUCUUACGGGUGGCGAGUGGCGGACGGGUGAGGAAUACAUCGGAAUCUACUUUUUCGUGGGGGAUAACGUAGGGAAACUUACGCUAAUACCGCAUACGACCUACGGGUGAAAGCAGGGGAUCUUCGGACCUUGCGCGAUUGAAUGAGCCGAUGUCGGAUUAGCUAGUUGGCGGGGUAAAGGCCCACCAAGGCGACGAUCCGUAGCUGGUCUGAGAGGAUGAUCAGCCAAACUGGAACUGAGACACGGACCAGACUCCUACGGGAGGCAGCAGUGGGGAAUAUUGGACAAUGGGCGCAAGCCUGAUCCAGCCAUACCGCGUGGGUGAAGAAGGCCUUCGGGUUGUAAAGCCCUUUUGUUGGGAAAGAAAAGCAGCAGGUUAAUACCCCGCUGUUCUGACGGUACCCAAAGAAUAAGCACCGGCUAACUUCGUG